AGCAAUAUUUUCAAGAAACAACUUUUUAAAUUCUAAUUUAAUAGAAGUCAAGUUAUGGUCUGAGAGAUAACUUAAAAAUGGAAAGUUAUUUAGAAACAAGAUAAAAGGCAAAACACCAAACUUCAUACAAACUUAAAUGUUUGACAUUUAAAAAUUAAAGAGAUUUUUUUUUUAAGUGUAUUUGAGACAAAUAAGCCAACCUUGGUACAUAACCGCUGAAAACUAAAAAACCGUACCCUAAACCAACACAGGUGGAUAGGUCGAGUAGACUAAGGUGUAUGAGAUAAUUAUGUUGAAGGAACUCGGCAAAAUGACUCUGUAACUUCGGGAGAAAGAGUACCUUUUUAUUUAAAUGUUUAUCGACGAAAUAAUAA
rnacentral:rRNA from 1 species